GCGCCUUUAGCUCAGUUGGUAGAGCAGUAGACUCUUAAUCUAUUUGUCCAGGGUUCGAGUCCCUGAAGGCGCACUA
rnacentral:tRNA from 62 species